CACGUAGGGUGCGAGCGUUGUCCGGAAUUACUGGGCGUAAAGAGCUCGUAGGUGGUUUGUCGCGUUGUUCGUGAAAACCGGGGGCUUAACCCUCGGCGUGCGGGCGAUACGGGCAGACUGGAGUACUGCAGGGGAGACUGGAAUUCCUGGUGUAGCGGUGGAAUGCGCAGAUAUCAGGAGGAACACCGGUGGCGAAGGCGGGUCUCUGGGCAGUAACUGACGCUGAGGAGCGAAAGCGUGGGGAGCGAACAGG
rnacentral:rRNA from 1 species